GACGAGCUAGAACCGCACCAUCUGCAUACGGGGAUUAUACGGCUGACUCCUUCCUGCCAUUUAGAAGGUGGAAAAAUCUUGGUGUUGAGCAACGGUGGAGACUGAGCAUCUCACAUACCACCUGAUCUACCUAGCCAGGCUGGCCAGCACGACAGCAAAUUGCAUUUCUGCUCCAGGAGACAUAAAGAUGAUUGCCAGUGAGACCUGCUCUCCACAGACCUAGAGCAAUUCCUCUGGAGGCCUCCUCUCCAAACGGGGAGUAGUUUUGUGAGGAAUAGGUGGUGAUUGCCAAGACCUCUCUGUCCUGAAGCCAGCAAGUGGAAACGUUUCCGUUUCUCUUCUGGAUCUGACCCGAAGUCCCGGGACCCGAUGCCAUUCUGGAGAUUUAUUAGUGAAUCCUUCAUCUGCAAGACAAGAAACGUCUCCAAUGGGCUGCUACCCUGAAGGUGACAGAGCUUCGGGAUUUCCUUCCCCAUCAGUGCCUCCAGAAUUCUCUCCUUGACUUGCCUGGACCCCCCGUGUGAGGUGAGAGAGAAUCCAUGGUAUCCUGUGAAUGGCCCUUAGGAUCUGCUGCCCACCCCAGCCUCAGCAGAUGGAGCUAAAGGGAGACAGGAGCAGAGGAGAUGCACCUGACAGGCUGCAGCGGAUCCAGGGCUGGAGGCUGCUGAGUGGAGGCGGCUCAGGGCAGACACAAGCUGUCAGGCUGCUGACAGGAGGAUCCCCAGGCCUGGCUGCCCAGAGCUGCCGCUCAGGGCCAGAGGAAGGACACCGGUGUGUAGGUGGAGCUUG